GUGAGGAAUCUUCCACAAUGGGCGAAAGCCUGAUGGAGCAACGCCGCGUGAAGGAUGAAGGUCUUCGGAUUGUAAACUUCUUUUAUGAGUGAAGAAUAUGACGGUAACUCAUGAAUAAGCACCGGCUAACUACGUGCCAGCAGCCGCGGUCAUACGUAGGGUGCAAGCAUUAUCCGGAGUGACUGGGCGUAAAGAGUUGCGUAGGCGGUUAUGUAAGCGAAUAGUGAAACCUGGUGGCUCAACCACACAGACUAUUAUUCGAACUGCAUAACUCGAGAAUGGUAGAGGUAACUGGAAUUUCUUGUGUAGGAGUGAAAUCCGUAGAUAUAAGAAGGAACACCAAUGGCGUAGGCAGGUUACUGGGCCAUUUCUGACGCUAAGGCACGAAAGCGUGGGGAGCGAAUAGGAUUAGAAACCCUGGUAGUCC
rnacentral:rRNA from 1 species